rnacentral:rRNA from 1 species
GAUGAACGCUGGCGGCGUGCCUAAUACAUGCAAGUCGAGCGAACAGACGAGAGUGCUUGCACUCUCUGACGUUAGCGGCGGACGGGUGAGUAACACGUGGGUAACCUACCUAUAAGACUGGGAUAACUUCGGGAAACCGGAGCUAAUACCGGAUAAUAUUUAGCUUCGCAUGAAGCAAUAGUGAAAGACGGUUCUGCUGUCACUUAUAGAUGGACCCGCGGUGUAUUAGCUAGUUGGUGAGGUAACGGCUCACCAAGGCAACGAUGCAUAGCCGACCUGAGAGGGUGAUCGGCCACACUGGGACUGAUACACGGCCCAGACUCCUACGGGAGGCAGCAGUAGGGAAUCUUCCGCAAUGGACGAAAGUCUGACGGAGCAAUGCCGCGUGAGUGAAGAAGGUUUUCGGAUCGUAAAACUCUGUUGUAAGGGAAGAACAAGUACGUUAGUAACUGAACGUACCUUGACGGUACCUUACCAGAAAGCCACGGCUAACUACGUG